CGAGCGAACGCUGGCGGCGUGCCUAAUACAUGCAAGUCGAGCGGAUCUUCAUUAGCUUGCUUUUGAAGAUCAGCGGCGGACGGGUGAGUAACACGUGGGCAACCUGCCUGUAAGACUGGGAUAACUUCGGGAAACCGGAGCUAAUACCGGAUAAUCCUUUCCCUUUCAUGAGGGAAAGCUGAAAGACGGUUUCGGCUGUCACUUACAGAUGGGCCCGCGGCGCAUUAGCUAGUUGGUGAGGUAACGGCUCACCAAGGCGACGAUGCGUAGCCGACCUGAGAGGGUGAUCGGCCACACUGGGACUGAGACACGGCCCAGACUCCUACGGGAGGCAGCAGUAGGGAAUCUUCCGCAAUGGACGAAAGUCUGACGGAGCAACGCCGCGUGAGCGAUGAAGGCCUUCGGGUCGUAAAGCUCUGUUGUCAGGGAAGAACAAGUAUCGGAGUAACUGCCGGUACCUUGACGGUACCUGACCAGAAAGCCACGGCUAACUACGUGCCAGCAGCCGCGGUAAUACGUAGGUGGCAAGCGUUGUCCGGAAUUAUUGGGCGUAAAGCGCGCGCAGGCGGUUCCUUAAGUCUGAUGUGAAAGCCCCCGGCUCAACCGGGGAGGGUCAUUGGAAACUGGGGAACUUGAGUGCAGAAGAGGAGAGCGGAAUUCCACGUGUAGCGGUGAAAUGCGUAAAGAUGUGGAGGAAC
rnacentral:rRNA from 1 species